GACGAACGCUGGCGGCGUGCUUAACACAUGCAAGUCGAACGGAAAGGCCCUGCUUGCAGGGUUCUCGAGUGGCGAACGGGUGAGUAACACGUGGGUGAUCUGCCCUGCACUUCGGGAUAAGCCUGGGAAACUGGGUCUAAUACCGGAUAGGAGCCAUUUUUAGUGUGAUGGUUGGAAAGUUUUUUCGGUGUAGGAUGAGCUCGCGGCCUAUCAGCUUGUUGGUGGGGUAAUGGCCUACCAAGGCGGCGACGGGUAGCCGGCCUGAGAGGGUGGACGGCCACAUUGGGACUGAGAUACGGCCCAGACUCCUACGGGAGGCAGCAGUGGGGAAUAUUGCACAAUGGGCGCAAGCCUGAUGCAGCGACGCCGCGUGGGGGAUGACGACCUUCGGGUUGUAAACUCCUUUCGCUAGGGACGAAGCUUUUUGUGACGGUACCUAGAUAAGAAGCACCGGCUAACUACGUG
rnacentral:rRNA from 1 species